AGUGAACGCUGGCGGUAGGCCUAACACAUGCAAGUCGAACGGCAGCACAGGAGAGCUUGCUCUCUGGGUGGCGAGUGGCGGACGGGUGAGGAAUACAUCGGAAUCUACUCUGUCGUGGGGGAUAACGUAGGGAAACUUACGCUAAUACCGCAUACGACCUACGGGUGAAAGCAGGGGACCUUCGGGCCUUGCGCGAUUGAAUGAGCCGAUGUCGGAUUAGCUAGUUGGCGGGGUAAAGGCCCACCAAGGCGACGAUCCGUAGCUGGUCUGAGAGGAUGAUCAGCCAGAAUGGAACUGAGACACGUUCCAGACUCCUACGGGAGGCAGCAGUGGGGAAUAUUGGACAAUGGGCGCAAGCCUGAUCCAGCCAUACCGCGUGGGUGAAGAAGGCCUUCGGGUUGUAAAGCCCUUUUGUUGGGAAAGAAAUCCAGCUGGCUAAUACCCGGUUGGGAUGACGGUACCCAAAGAAUAAGCACCGGCUAACUUCGUGCCAGCCGCCGCAGUAA
rnacentral:rRNA from 1 species